UACGUAGGGUGCGAGCGUUGUCCGGAAUUAUUGGGCGUAAAGAGCUUGUAGGCGGUCUGUCGCGUCUGCUGUGAAAAUCCGGGGCUCAACCCCGGACUUGCAGUGGGUACGGGCAGACUAGAGUGUGGUAGGGGAGACUGGAAUUCCUGGUGUAGCGGUGAAAUGCGCAGAUAUCAGGAGGAACACCGAGUGGCGAAGGCAGGUCUCUGGGCCAC
rnacentral:rRNA from 1 species